rnacentral:rRNA from 1 species
AUCAUGGCUCAGGACGAACGCUGGCGGCGUGCCUAAUACAUGCAAGUCGAACGCUUCUUUUUCCACCGGAGCUUGCUCCACCGGAAAAAGAGGAGUGGCGAACGGGUGAGUAACACGUGGGUAACCUGCCCAUCAGAAGGGGAUAACACUUGGAAACAGGUGCUAAUACCGUAUAACAAUCGAAACCGCAUGGUUUGAUUUGAAAGGCGCUUUCGGGUGUCGCUGAUGGAUGGACCCGCGGUGCAUUAGCUAGUUGGUGAGGUAACGGCUCACCAAGGCGACGAUGCAUAGCCGACCUGAGAGGGUGAUCGGCCACAUUGGGACUGAGACACGGCCCAAACUCCUACGGGAGGCAGCAGUAGGGAAUCUUCGGCAAUGGACGAAAGUCUGACCCGAGCAACGCCGCGUGAGUGAAGAAGGUUUUCGGAUCGUAAAACUCUGUUGUUAGAGAAGAAACAAGGAUGAGAGUAACUGUUCCAUCCCCUGACCGGUACGAAGCC